rnacentral:rRNA from 1 species
GGAUCCAGACUUUGAUCAUGGCUCAGGAUGAACGCUAGCUACAGGCUUAACACAUGCAAGUCGAGGGGAAACGAUAGAGAAAGCUUGCUUUUUCUAGGCGUCGACCGGCGCACGGGUGAGUAACGCGUAUCCAACCUGCCCAUCACUUGGGGAUAACCUUGCGAAAGUAAGACUAAUACCCAAUGAUAUCCGUCGAAGACAUCUGAAGUGGAUUAAAGAUUUAUCGGUGAUGGAUGGGGAUGCGUCUGAUUAGCUUGUUGGCGGGGUAACGGCCCACCAAGGCGACGAUCAGUAGGGGUUCUGAGAGGAAGGUCCCCCACAUUGGAACUGAGACACGGUCCAAACUCCUACGGGAGGCAGCAGUGAGGAAUAUUGGUCAAUGGACGAGAGUCUGAACCAGC